rnacentral:rRNA from 1 species
GACAGAGGGGGCAAGCGUUGUCCGGAUUGACUGGGCGUACAGCGCGCGCAGGCGGCCGAGUAUGUGCUUGGUGACAUCCCACGGCUCAACCGUGGGCGGCCCAGGUAGACAGCUCGGCUGGAGGGUGGGAGAGGGUCGUGGAAUGCCCGGUGGAGCGGUGAAAUGCGUAGAGAUCGGGCGGAACACCAGCGGCGAAGGCGGCGACCUGGCCCAUACCUGACGCUGAGGCGCGAGAGCGUGGGGAGCGAACGGG